rnacentral:snRNA from 1 species
CCACUAGACUCUCUUGGUUG